AAACAGGAUUAGAUACCCUGGUAGUCCACGCCGUAAACGAUGUCGACUUGGAGGUUGUGCCCUUGAGGCGUGGCUUCCGGAGCUAACGCGUUAAGUCGACCGCCUGGGGAGUACGGCCGCAAGGUUAAAACUCAAAUGAAUUGACGGGGGCCCGCACAAGCGGUGGAGCAUGUGGUUUAAUUCGAUGCAACGCGAAGAACCUUACCUGGCCUUGACAUCCAGAGAACUUAGCAGAGAUGCUUUGGUGCCUUCGGGAACUCUGAGACAGGUGCUGCAUGGCUGUCGUCAGCUCGUGUUGUGAAAUGUUGGGUUAAGUCCCGCAACGAGCGCAACCCUUAUCCUUUGUUGCCAGCGGUUCGGCCGGGAACUCAAAGGAGACUGCCGGUGAUAAACCGGAGGAAGGUGGGGAUGACGUCAAGUCAUCAUGGCCCUUACGGCCAGGGCUACACACGUGCUACAAUGGCGCAUACAAAGAGAAGCGACCUCGCGAGAGCAAGCGGACCUCAUAAAGUGCGUCGUAGUCCGGAUUGGAGUCUGCAACUCGACUCCAUGAAGUCGGAAUCGCUAGUAAUCGUAGAUCAGAAUGCUACGGUGAAUACGUUCCCGGGCCUUGUACACACCGCCCGUCACACCAUGGGAGUGGGUUGCAAAAGAAGUAGGUAGCUU
rnacentral:rRNA from 2 species